GAACGGGUGAGUAACACGUGGGCAAUCUGCCCUGCACUCUGGGACAAGCCCUGGAAACGGGGUCUAAUACCGGAUACUGACCCGCUUGGGCAUCCUGGCGGAUCGAAAGCUCCGGCGGUGCAGGAUGAGCCCGCGGCCUAUCAGCUAGUUGGUGAGGUAAUGGCUCACCAAGGCGACGACGGGUAGCCGGCCUGAGAGGGCGACCGGCCACACUGGGACUGAGACACGGCCCAGACUCCUACGGGAGGCAGCAGUGGGGAAUAUUGCACAAUGGGCGAAAGCCUGAUGCAGCGACGCCGCGUGAGGGAUGACGGCCUUCGGGUUGUAAACCUCUUUCAGCAGGGAAGAAGCGAAAGUGACGGUACCUGCAGAAGAAGCGCCGGCUAACUACGUGCCAGCAGCCGCGGUAAUACGUAGGGCGCGAGCGUUGUCCGGAAUUAUUGGGCGUAAAGAGCUCGUAGGCGGCUUGUCACGUCGGUUGUGAAAGCCCGGGGCUUAACCCCGGGUCUGCAGUCGAUACGGGCAGGCUAGAGUUCGGUAGGGGAGAUCGGAAUUCCUGGUGUAGCGGUGAAAUGCGCAGAUAUCAGGAGGAACACCGGUGGCGAAGGCGGAUCUCUGGGCCGAUACUGACGCUGAGGAGCGAAAGCGUGGGGGAGCGAACAGGAUUAGAUACCCUGGUAGUCCACGCCGUAAACGGUGGGCACUAGGUGUGGGCGACAUUCCACGUCGUCCGUGCCGCAGCUAACGCAUUAAGUG
rnacentral:rRNA from 1 species